rnacentral:rRNA from 1 species
GACGAACGCUGGCGGUGUGCUUAACACAUGCAAGUCGAACGGAAAGGCCCUGCUUUUGUGGGGUGCUCGAGUGGCGAACGGGUGAGUAACACGUGAGUAACCUGCCCUUGACUUUGGGAUAACUUCAGGAAACUGGGGCUAAUACCGGAUAGGAGCUCCUGCUGCAUGGUGGGGGUUGGAAAGUUUCGGCGGUUGGGGAUGGACUCGCGGCUUAUCAGCUUGUUGGUGGGGUAGUGGCUUACCAAGGCUUUGACGGGUAGCCGGCCUGAGAGGGUGACCGGCCACAUUGGGACUAAGAUACGGCCCAGACUCCUACGGGAGGCAGCAGUGGGGAAUAUUGCACAAUGGGCGGAAGCCUGAUGCAGCAACGCCGCGUGCGGGAUGACGGCCUUCGGGUUGUAAACCGCUUUCGCCUGUGACGAAGCGUGAGUGACGGUAAUGGGUAAAGAAGCACCGGCUAACUACGUG